rnacentral:rRNA from 1 species
GGUUAAGCGACUAAGCGUACACGGUGGAUGCCCUGGCAGUCAGAGGCGAUGAAGGACGUGCUAAUCUGCGAUAAGCGUCGGUAAGGUGAUAUGAACCGUUAUAACCGGCGAUUUCCGAAUGGGGAAACCCAGUGUGAUUCGUCACACUAUCAUUAACUGAAUCCAUAGGUUAAUGAGGCGAACCGGGGGAACUGAAACAUCUAAGUACCCCGAGGAAAAGAAAUCAACCGAGAUUCCCCCAGUAGCGGCGAGCGAACGGGGAGGAGCCCAGAGCCUGAAUCAGUGUGUGUGUUAGUGGAAGCGUCUGGAAAGGCGCGCGAUACAGGGUGACAGCCCCGUACACAAAAAUGCACAUACUGUGAGCUCGAUGAGUAGGGCGGGACACGUGGUAUCCUGUCUGAAUAUGGGGGGACCAUCCUCCAAGGCUAAAUACUCCUGACUGACCGAUAGUGAACCAGUACCGUGAGGGAAAGGCGAAAAGAACCCCGGCGAGGGGAGUGAAAAAGAACCUGAAACCGUGUACGUACAAGCAGUGGGAGCCUCUUUAUGGGGUGACUGCGUACCUUUUGUAUAAUGGGUCAGCGACUUAUAUUCUGUAGCAAGGUUAACCGAAUAGGGGAGCCGAAGGGAAACCGAGUCUUAACUGGGCGUUAAGUUGCAGGGUAUAGACCCGAAACCCGGUGAUCUAGCCAUGGGCAGGUUGAAGGUUGGGUAACACUAACUGGAGGACCGAACCGACUAAUGUUGAAAAAUUAGCGGAUGACUUGUGGCUGGGGGUGAAAGGCCAAUCAAACCGGGAGAUAGCUGGUUCUCCCCGAAAGCUAUUUAGGUAGCGCCUCGUGAAUUCAUCUCCGGGGGUAGAGCACUGUUUCGGCAAGGGGGUCAUCCCGACUUACCAACCCGAUGCAAACUGCGAAUACCGGAGAAUGUUAUCACGGGAGACACACGGCGGGUGCUAACGUCCGUCGUGAAGAGGGAAACAACCCAGACCGCCAGCUAAGGUCCCAAAGUCAUGGUUAAGUGGGAAACGAUGUGGGAAGGCCCAGACAGCCAGGAUGUUGGCUUAGAAGCAGCCAUCAUUUAAAGAAAGCGUAAUAGCUCACUGGUCGAGUCGGCCUGCGCGGAAGAUGUAACGGGGCUAAACCAUGCACCGAAGCUGCGGCAGCGACACUAUGUGUUGUUGGGUAGGGGAGCGUUCUGUAAGCCUGUGAAGGUGUACUGUGAGGUAUGCUGGAGGUAUCAGAAGUGCGAAUGCUGACAUAAGUAACGAUAAAGCGGGUGAAAAGCCCGCUCGCCGGAAGACCAAGGGUUCCUGUCCAACGUUAAUCGGGGCAGGGUGAGUCGACCCCUAAGGCGAGGCCGAAAGGCGUAGUCGAUGGGAAACAGGUUAAUAUUCCUGUACUUGGUGUUACUGCGAAGGGGGGACGGAGAAGGCUAUGUUGGCCGGGCGACGGUUGUCCCGGUUUAAGCGUGUAGGCUGGUUUUCCAGGCAAAUCCGGAAAAUCAAGGCUGAGGCGUGAUGACGAGGCACUACGGUGCUGAAGCAACAAAUGCCCUGCUUCCAGGAAAAGCCUCUAAGCAUCAGGUAACAUCAAAUCGUACCCCAAACCGACACAGGUGGUCAGGUAGAGAAUACCAAGGCGCUUGAGAGAACUCGGGUGAAGGAACUAGGCAAAAUGGUGCCGUAACUUCGGGAGAAGGCACGCUGAUAUGUAGGUGAAGUCCCUUGCGGAUGGAGCUGAAAUCAGUCGAAGAUACCAGCUGGCUGCAACUGUUUAUUAAAAACACAGCACUGUGCAAACACGAAAGUGGACGUAUACGGUGUGACGCCUGCCCGGUGCCGGAAGGUUAAUUGAUGGGGUUAGCGGUAACGCGAAGCUCUUGAUCGAAGCCCCGGUAAACGGCGGCCGUAACUAUAACGGUCCUAAGGUAGCGAAAUUCCUUGUCGGGUAAGUUCCGACCUGCACGAAUGGCGUAAUGAUGGCCAGGCUGUCUCCACCCGAGACUCAGUGAAAUUGAACUCGCUGUGAAGAUGCAGUGUACCCGCGGCAAGACGGAAAGACCCCGUGAACCUUUACUAUAGCUUGACACUGAACAUUGAGCCUUGAUGUGUAGGAUAGGUGGGAGGCUUUGAAGUGUGGACGCCAGUCUGCAUGGAGCCGACCUUGAAAUACCACCCUUUAAUGUUUGAUGUUCUAACGUUGGCCCCUGAUCGGGGUUGCGGACAGUGUCUGGUGGGUAGUUUGACUGGGGCGGUCUCCUCCUAAAGAGUAACGGAGGAGCACGAAGGUUGGCUAAUCCUGGUCGGACAUCAGGAGGUUAGUGCAAUGGCAUAAGCCAGCUUGACUGCGAGCGUGACGGCGCGAGCAGGUGCGAAAGCAGGUCAUAGUGAUCCGGUGGUUCUGAAUGGAAGGGCCAUCGCUCAACGGAUAAAAGGUACUCCGGGGAUAACAGGCUGAUACCGCCCAAGAGUUCAUAUCGACGGCGGUGUUUGGCACCUCGAUGUCGGCUCAUCACAUCCUGGGGCUGAAGUAGGUCCCAAGGGUAUGGCUGUUCGCCAUUUAAAGUGGUACGCGAGCUGGGUUUAGAACGUCGUGAGACAGUUCGGUCCCUAUCUGCCGUGGGCGCUGGAGAACUGAGGGGGGCUGCUCCUAGUACGAGAGGACCGGAGUGGACGCAUCACUGGUGUUCGGGUUGUCAUGCCAAUGGCACUGCCCGGUAGCUAAAUGCGGAAGAGAUAAGUGCUGAAAGCAUCUAAGCACGAAACUUGCCCCGAGAUGAGUUCUCCCUGACUCCUUGAGAGUCCUGAAGGAACGUUGAAGACGACGACGUUGAUAGGCCGGGUGUGUAAGCGCAGCGAUGCGUUGAGCUAACCGGUACUAAUGAACCGUGAGGCUUAACCUU